UGUCCUCGAUUCGACUGAUGUCUGAUGACGACAUAUCCUUAGUCUUUAUUUAAAAGGGGAAAUUAUAAAAAAUUCUCCUCGUUCCCUAAAAAUCUAGGGUUUCUCAAGAAUCGCUAAACCUAGAUCCCAAUCCUUCAAAAUCUCAAUUUAACCUCUCUAGGGUUUCAAUUGUCGAGGAUUCGCUUCAAAAUUUAGUAUUUUUUAGGGGAUUUUGCUUGUCUCGUAUCCUUCAAUUGUUGUUCGGUUUUGAAAAUAAUUUGGAAUUUUAGGGAUUUUCAGAUUAUUUGGUUUUGCUUGAGUGCAAUUUCCUCUAGUUACGGUUUCAGUUUGAAGGGUUAAGUGCAGUUUGAAGGGUUAAGUGCGAUUUCGAAUAUUUUUAUAAAAUUAAAAUUAAAAUUCAUAAAACGAUUGGACGUUUAAUAAUUAAUUGAUGGCUAGCGAUACUACAACGGCGGCCGCAGCUGCGGAAGAAGCAGAGGCGGUGGAGGAGUAUGAUAGCGAUCCAGAUGAAGUGAAACACUCUCUUGCGAUGCGCAGAAGGGAAGCCAGCGAUGAGGAGGUUGAGGAGGAUAAAGAUUCAGAGCAAAACCAAAUCAAGGUAAUUACCGUCACUCGGCUCAAAUAAAUAGUCUCCUCGAUUCAACUGAUGACGACAUAUCUCAUAGUCUUUAUUUAGAAGGGAAAAUUAUAAAAAAAUCCCAUCGUUCUCUAAAAGUAUGGUGUUUCUCAAGAAUAGCUAAACCUACAUCCCAAUCCUGCAAAAUCUCAAUUUAACGUCUCUAGGGUUUCAAUUGUCAAGGAUUCGCUUCAAAAUUUAGUAUU
rnacentral:lncRNA from 1 species